rnacentral:rRNA from 1 species
UACGUAGGGAGCAAGCGUUGUCCGGAAUCAUUGGGCGUAAAGCGCGCGUAGGUGGCCCGGUAAGUCCGCUCUGAAAGUCAAAGGCUCAACCUUUGAAAGCGGGUGGAUACUGCCAGGCUAGAGUCCGGAAGAGGCGAGUGGAAUUCCUGGUGUAGCGGUGGAAUGCGCAGAUAUCGGAAGGAACACCAGUGGCGAAAGCGGCUUCCUGGUCCAGCACCGACGUUCAGGCACGAAAGCGUGGGGAGCAAACAGG